GUCAGUUAGUUGCUGACAUUUCCUGCCUCUUUGUGGCUGAUAUCGCAGUGGCAGUGACAGGAUAAUGCUGGGCCAAGUGGGAAGAAUCUCUAACCAUGCCUGCAAUAUCCCACAUUCUGAAGAGAGUAACACCGUGAAAUUAGAGCAGCAGCGUGGGUUCAAAAAAUAUGAACCAGGACUACCUAGGCCUUCCAGAGAAGAGUUUAAAAGCUGAGAUCUACAGAUACACAGAGAAUGGAUAGAACAAUAUUUAUCCUCUUCAUGAGUACCAACAUGGAUAUAAGAAGCUACAUGAAACUGGAUUGGAAAAUGCAAGCAGUUACAUGGAACAAGAAAGAAAUACACAUCCUGGAAAAACCUCCAAGUCAACACUGUUCCAUAACAGAAAAGGAGGACGGCAUAAUUCCAAAGAGUCUCUGGAAGCAGAACAAAGGCUAACAACUGGAAAGCCUACAUUACUUUGUACAGACUAUUCUGCAAUACUUGGAGUUGGAAGAGGCAAGAGGCUGAUUUUUCAAAGCCCUUUCUGUGAAGCCCAAACUUUUGAAUAUGGAAUCUUCCAUAAUGUAAUCCAGCCUUAUGAAAUGGGUUCCUAGGAUCUCAUUUUUAAACUGUACUCUGAAACAACAAAAUCUCCAUGUGAGUUUUCAAAUUGUUCCAUACUCAUUACAUUUUGCCCACCCCUCCAAAUUAUUUUUAGUUGGAAAUUGUUUAAAUACUGCAGCACAAGAUAAACUACCAUUUAACUGAAAGUAAAAACACAAUUUUAGACUACAAUCAAGUAACAGUUACCUCUUUAAAAAAGAGAUAAGCAGCAGAACCUGCCUUUUGUAAGACUUCUAAUGUAUAAUUUUGCUGCUGGCCAUGUAUGGAUUUUCAGUGUGCUGAGAUACAAAAAGCCAAGAGAAAUAGUAGAGAGCAAAGCCUGUUAUGGGAAAAUAAAAUGUCUUAGUUCUCUGUUUCAUUAAAAAUGUUGGAGGUAUUAUAAAGUGCUUAGACUCAACCUUUUCAUAGUUGCCCAAUUGGCCAAACAUUUGAAGUCAUUUUUUUUUAAGUGUGGACUAUGUUUCACCAAAUGCUACAUUUUCCAAUACCAUUUCAGUGAAAAAAGAUUGUUGAAUAAUAAUAAUUUUAAAAAACUGAGAACGUUAAA